AUGGAGGAGAAUCUGAGCAGCCCGCCGCGUGCCGGAAGACGGCCCUACGGGUUUGUAAACGGCUUUUAAUUGGGAAGAAGGUACGGGGUUUGCCCUGUAUUGACGGUACCGGUUGAAUAAGCACCGGCUAACUCCGUGCCAGCAGCCGCGGUAAUACGA
rnacentral:rRNA from 1 species